UACGAAGGGGUCUAGCGUUGCUCGGAAUCACUGGGCGUAAAGGGUGCGUAGGCGGGUCUUUAAGUCAGGGGUGAAAUCCUGGAGCUCAACUCCAGAACUGCCUUUGAUACUGAAGAUCUUGAGUUCGGGAGAGGUGAGUGGAACUGCGAGUGUAGAGGUGAAAUUCGUAGAUAUCCGCAAGAACACCAGUGGCGAAGGCGGCUCACUGGCCCGAUACUGACGCUGAGACGCGAAAGCGUGGGGAGCGAACAGG
rnacentral:rRNA from 1 species